rnacentral:rRNA from 1 species
UACGUAGGGGGCAAGCGUUGUCCGGAAUUACUGGGCGUAAAGGGCGCGUAGGCGGCCUACUAAGUCAGACGUGAAAUCCCCCGGCUUAACCUGGGAACUGCGUCUGAUACUGGAAGGCUUGAGGAUGGGAGAGGGAUGUAGAAUUCCAGGUGUAGCGGUGAAAUGCGUAGAUAUCUGGAGGAAUACCGGUGGCGAAGGCGGCAUCCUGGACCAUUACUGACGCUGAGGCGCGAAAGCUAGGGGAGCAAACGGGG